AAGACUAUACUUUCAGGGAUUAUUUCUAUAGUGUGUUACUAGAGAAGUUUAUCUGAUGGUGUAGAGCAACCAAAAUCAUGAGAGGAACCAGAGCAUCCUUUCCUGAGCAUGAAGCUGGUUCCAGGUAUUGCUUUUGCACCUGCCUUUUACCAUUGAUGCUCGUUCUUCUCUUCCUUUGGAAGACAGAGAGGGAGAGGAUGCAGUCUGAGUGGU